rnacentral:rRNA from 1 species
CCCUUAGAUGUUCUGGGCCGCACGCGCGCUACACUGAUGCAUUCAACGAGCCUAUCCUUGACCGACGGGUCCGGGUAAUCUUUGAAUCUGCAUCGUGACGGGGAUAGAUUAUUGCAAUUAUUAAUCUUCAACGAGGAAUGCCUAGUAGGCGCAAGUCAUCAGCUUGCGUCGAUUACGUCCCUGCCCUUUGUACACACCGCCCGUCGCUCCUACCGAUUGGGUGUGCUGGUGAAAUGUUCGGAUCGGCCGUUUGUCGCGGUUUCCGCGUCAUGUGGCUGAGAAGUUCAUUAAACCCUCCCACCUAGAGGAAGGAGAAGUCGUAACA